AGAAGGAGAUACAGAGUGAUGUGAGCUUGAAACACUGUCAUUACUUCAUUUUCGAAAUUAUAAUAGCUAUACAUAUUAUAUUGACUAUACAUGGCUUUUAAAUGCUAGUUGGUACAUACAUGUUUUAUAGAUAAGUCUGUGAUCUGAAAUGUAUUAUUUAUGCCCUUUGACAUAACACAUAACUUGGAAACUUAUCUCACUGGGAUUAAAUAUGGCAAAGGAAAUUAAGCUUUCAUUCAUGCUCAGUAACCACUUUAUCCUGGUCAGCGUCACAGUGGAGCCAAUGCCAUUCCCGGAAAUAUCGGGCAUGAGGCAGGAAUACGCCUUGGAUGGGAGGCAAGUGCAUUUGCAGGUCAUCAUACACACGCACACACACACACACUCACAUAAUUUAUCUUAGCCAAUCCACAUACUGGCAUGUUUUUUGGAAGGUGGGAGGAAACUGAUGAACGCUCAGUAACCUGAGUGUUUUUUUUUUUUUUUUAUUUAGCUAUAGUAGCUAUAUACUGUAUAUAUAAAACUAGAGUAGACAAUAGUGUAAAUAAUGCUGUUAAUACAGCUCAAGCUUGCAUAAUGACUCUUUGCCAGUUGAAACAAUAUCAGUCCAGCUUUUAAUACUGAUAUAAUCUCAUCUUAAACCACAUAAAGGAGCUACAGUGGGACAUAGGAGUUGGAAACUCUUCAACAGUGUGGAUCUGCAAAGAUAUAAUUAUCAUUCAAGGAGAUGCAACUGUCUAAAACUGUCUAAAACCUGCCUUUAAAUACUCUACUGGUCUUACUUUAUAAGCUACUAAUAUGAUCAGGUAUCUCCUAUUUAAUAGCAAAGUUUAUACAAUAUUGCAAUGUUAAAUAUAGCUGUAAUGAGCUGAUGAUUUGGAUCGAUGCAAUAAUUUAAAAUGCAACAAUGAAUAAGGAAUUGAGGCAAAAAUCAUAAAUUGAUUAUUAUUGAUUCUAAUUGAUUAUAAAUCACAUAUUGCUGAAAAAAGACAAACAACUGGUGUGUAAAAAUAAUUCAGAUUUAUAAACGGAUGUGUAAAUAGGCAAGCAGUUUUAUUUGGCCGUAACUUUGAAACCUAAAAUAGUCCUUCUCUGCGUCAUCAUCAUUUGAAAAUUAACGGUAGGCCUAGCCCAGAUUGGACGAAGUUGGUCACAUAUUGAUCUUAUCAUAUCAUAUCAUAUCAGAUUCUGUGGUAUCUUCAGAUAUUGAAUCAAUGCCUUAAGAAUCAAAAUUGUAUUGUAGCAGAGUUAAUGGUGUCGUCAAUUAUUGGAUCAUUGGCUUAAGAACUGAAAUCGUGUCAUAUCCGUGUGAAAGCAUGAGGGUUACAUCCCUACUGUUAAAUUUUCUUAUAUCAUAGCGCAUUGUAUUGUAUCAUAGCAGGUUCACUGGUGUCGUGAAAUAACGAAUCAAAAUUGUAUCACAGCAGAUUCAGGGAGAGUGUCGAGACGAAAUCGUAUCAUAUUGUGCAGAAGCCUGAGGUUUACACCCCUACUGUUAAAUUUACUUAUACAUUUAUACUUAUACAAGUCUGCCAUGUUCUAAGUACCACAGACAUUGUACUAUAACCACCGUAAUUACAGUAGCUGAUCAGGGGUAGAUUUAUGUGUCAAAAAAGAGAUAAGAUUUAUUUCUCUAAAUAAUUAGAAGUAUAAUGAACCGAGUUUCAUGAGUGUUUAAUAAGACUAUAUAGAGUAGACUGCAAUUACUACCAGCUAUAUGAUAUUGUGUCUCUUUCAUCGUGAGGACUAUACCUAUACUUGUACCCACAUUAACAUAUUAAUUCGAUCUUCACGUCUCUACAGACCUACAGUACUUACCCAAAUAAAAUUAGUUUCUUUCCAAUCACUUUAAAGGUGCAUUAGGGACAAUGUGUGACUCAAAAAAAGGUCUUUAAUGCUUAAGGUCUCUAAUGAAUAAGAUUUGAAUGAUAUUUUUACUCCCCAUUUCCACACAUGGACACAAAGCUCCGCCCACAAAAUGUAUGGUGGUUCAACUAGAGUUAGCAUGCUAAUUAAAGUUACCAUUAGCAAGGACUGUCAUGACAUUACUUUCAAGCGCACUUAGACAUUAAACCGCUUAAAAAGCAGAGUUACAUCUCUAUAAACCUGCAUCUUUUCCCUUUUUCUCAUAAUGAUUUAUUUAUGAGGAUGUGCAAGGGUUUUGGGGGCGUGACUAUAAAAAUGACUGACAAGACGCCAAUAAAAAUACAAGCAAACCUUCCGGACCGGAAGUCAGGUUUUCAAACUGUUUUUUUUUUUUUUCAGCUACUUUAAAAAGAAAAGACAAUGAGACAGUGACUUAAACCAUUUUUUGAAUCAUUAUUUUACCAUAAUUUAAACAUAAUUUGUGUUAGUAAGAAGUGAAAAAUAUUGCCUAUUGCACCUUUAAUCGUUGUUUUAUUUCUCGAGGCCUUGAAGCCUCACCCAAAAGAACUUUCGCGUUCGGAAACUUUCACACGCGUCUCAUUGGGCAGAAAGUGAACCGUCAUUGAAAAAGCCAAGAUUCCAAUUGGUUAGCGGAGAUUGAUCCCGCCUCUUUGCUUGCUUGCUAUUGGCUGGAGAUGAAGCUACGGAACUCGAUCGUCAUCCGUAACCUUUGACGUUGGAGCAGCAGAAGCCAGCUGUUACAAAUCGCGUCACUUCUCGCCAGCUGAUCAGAGACGCCGGCCGAGCGCGAGACGCCGAGACAAGGAUCCGGGGUGGGUUUUAUUUCCCAGAGAGGCAGGCGAGCAUUCAGGACUGAGGAAGAUGGAUCAAGUGUGUAACUCUUGGCUAACCUACAUCAGUUCUUCUCUGGCAAACUUUAUGUUCCUAUUCACAUGCUAAAGCUGCCAGCUGAAGAGCUGUUGUGGUCAGCUCUGUCCUGCUCCUGCUUUCCAGACUUUUCAGGCUAGAGAGGCUGGAGACAUGCUUCCAAACCUUUUUUUGGAUGUGUAGUGUCUGUUUUAAAAAAUGUACUAAUUCACAAAACAUAGCAGCAGAAACUAAUUCAAACACUCUCUAGGAAAAUAUAAAAAACUAUUAAAUAUUUUUAAAAAAAACAUGUAUAUCUGGGCAGGUAAUUAUUGACACUGAACACGCAAGUUCUUUUCCUGAUUUUCAUGUUUGUGACGUAUGCGAAUAUACAAAGGUGCUGUAGAACUCAUUUGAAUACAGUGCCUUGCAUAAUUAUUCACCCCCACCCUCUUGAACCUUGCCACAUUUUGCCGUGUGAAAACCUGCGAUUUGAUUUAAACAAAAAGCCUAACAUUUGAAAGUAAAUAAUUUUUCAUUUUGACACAAAGUUUCAUUAAACAAACAAACAAAUA